UGGAGCUGUGUCGCCUUGGCAGGGGGGCUGGCUUCUCUGGGCCUCAGCUGCUGCUUCUAUAAAUGUGGGAAACAAUCCUCACCUCACACGCUGUUGUGGCGCUCAGGCUUCGGUUGUCAUUGACACUCCACCCUCUGCCUCUCGGGGUUCACAAUGCUCCCCACCUCCUCUUGAGACCUACCAGGAACCCUGCAUCCUGAGACCAGACCCAGCUCCUGCAUCCCUGGGCCUGGAGUGUGACUCCUUUAGCCGUCAUCACAAGUUGCACUGCUUUCGCCUGCUAGACUUGCAAGCCAUGCUGGGCGCUCACUGCACGCAGGCCUGGCCCAGAGUGGGCGCCCCCAAGCAGGCUCUGGGCCAUACCACCAUGCUCUGCUGGGCCCUGCAAGUCCUGCCUCUCCCCCUGCCCGCCCCCCCCAUCCUUAUUUGAGUGUAGAAAACUGAGUGACAACUGCCCCAGUGCUCUGGCCCAGAACCUGUUCGGGUUGGCCCCUCCCCUGGUGCUGUGAAAUAGUGAGCUAGGGGGCCUGCGCCUCCUCACCUCACCCUGGCAAGAGCAGCUGAGUGGGACCCCCGCCCCGACUUUUCUCAUACCUGGGCCACCUCCCCAUACCCCUUAGAGCCAGGCCAAAAAGUGUCGCUGCCUGUGUCACCCACCCCUGCUGUGGGGUGUUUGCUGACACAUCUCUGCCCUGUACAGAGGCUGCCCCAGUGCCCAGAUGGGGCCCCUACACACCCCCUGCACACUGGCUGUACGUGCAUAGCCCUACCUGGGAGCCACAUUACGGCUAAAUGGGCUGGUAAGGCCCAGGGUCAUGGUCACUGUCCAUUCACCACAUACCAGCCCACAGGAAUGCUCAGCAUGCAAGAUGGUGCAAGGGUCUCAGUGUCUGGGAUCACUCUACAGGUGAGCAUGGACUCAGAGGCAAAGCUGCUCGCCCACAUGAUGCCAUCCAACCCCACCUCCUUCGCCGAGUAGUUCAUUCUCACGGCAGAGUCCAGAGCCCAAGAAAUUGCAGGGGAACAGAACAGUGCAAGUUGGCAUCAACACGCUGGAGGGUUGGGAUUCUCAAGCCUGAGGUCUGAGGAAAGGAAGCGGUACCCACCCCACCCUAUGAGCCCUCCUCCCGCCCCUCUCAGCAGCUUCCCCUGCCGCCUGGUUCAACAACAGCCAAAGCGACCAGCCCACAGCCUCGUGCUCUGCUCCAACAGCCACUGAGUCUCCGAAGAUGAAGGGCCUCUUCUUAAUCGUGGUCACCAUCAGCCUCCUGCUAAUGCUUCAGAUCCACACUGUGGUCUCAGAAGAGAAAAACAGCUCGACCACCAAAACUGGGAAGAAUGCGGCCUCUACACUCGGCACACUGGGUGAAGGCAGCCUGCUCCUCCUCCUGAUCAGCGCCCUCACCCACCUCUUCUACCUCAGAUGAGGUCAAUGCCUGCCCGAAUCCAUUGCAAGCCUGAGAAAGACUCUGCUCAAGAGGGUUGACGAGGAUGGGAGCCGACGGGCAGCAGUGGGGGCUCUGGGAGAACAGGACAACACCUGUGGUCAAUAAAG